rnacentral:rRNA from 1 species
CCUACGGGCGGCAGCAGUGAGGAAUAUUGGUCAAUGGACGAGAGUCUGAACCAGCCAAGUAGCGUGAAGGAUGACUGCCCUAUGGGUUGUAAACUUCUUUUAUAUGGGAAUAAAAUGUUCCACGUGUGGGAUUUUGUAUGUACCAUAUGAAUAAGGAUCGGCUAACUCCGUGCCAGCAGCCGCGGUAAUACGGAGGAUCCGAGCGUUAUCCGGAUUUAUUGGGUUUAAAGGGAGCGUAGGUGGAUUGUUAAGUCAGUUGUGAAAGUUUGCGGCUCAACCGUAAAAUUGCAGUUGAAACUGGCAGUCUUGAGUACAGUAGAGGUGGGCGGAAUUCGGGGUGUAGCGGUGAAAGGCUUAGAUAUCACGAAGAACUCCGAUUGCGAAGGCAGCUCACUGGACUGCAACUGACACUGAGGCUCGAAAGUGUGGGUAUCAAACAGGAUUAGAUACCCCAGUAGUC